rnacentral:rRNA from 1 species
AUUGAACGCUGGCGGAAUGCUUUACACAUGCAAGUCGAACGGCAGCACGGGGGCAACCCUGGUGGCGAGUGGCGAACGGGUGAGUAAUACAUCGGAACGUGCCCGGUCGUGGGGGAUAACGUAGCGAAAGUUACGCUAAUACCGCAUACGAUCUGAGGAUGAAAGCGGGGGACCUUCGGGCCUCGCGCGAUCGGAGCGGCCGAUGUCAGAUUAGGUAGUUGGUGGGGUAAAGGCCUACCAAGCCGACGAUCUGUAGCUGGUCUGAGAGGACGACCAGCCACACUGGGACUGAGACACGGCCCAGACUCCUACGGGAGGCAGCAGUGGGGAAUAUUGGACAAUGGGCGCAAGCCUGAUCCAGCCAUUCCGCGUGCAGGACGAAGGCCUUCGGGUUGUAAACUGCUUUUGUAUGGAACGAAAAGGAUCUGGCUAAUACCUGGGGCUCAUGACGGUACCGUAAGAAUAAGCACCGGCUAACUACGUG